rnacentral:rRNA from 1 species
AUUGAACGCUGGCGGCAGGCCUAACACAUGCAAGUCGAACGAGUGGCGGACGGGUGAGUAAUGUCUGGGAAACUGCCUGAUGGAGGGGGAUAACUACUGGAAACGGUAGCUAAUACCGCAUACCAUCGGAUGUGCCCAGAUGGGAUUAGCUAGUAGGUGGGGUAACGGCUCACCUAGGCGACGAUCCCUAGCUGGUCUGAGAGGAUGACCAGCCACACGGGAACUGGGACACGGUCCAGACUCUUACGGGAGGCAGCAGUGGGAAAUAUUGCACAAUGGGCGCAAGCCUGAUGCAGCCAUGCCGGGUGUAUGUAGAAGGCCUUCGGUUUGUAAAGUACGUUCAGCGGGGAGGCGUUACCCGCAGAAGAAGCAACGGCUAACUCCGGGCCAGCAGCCGCGGUAAUUC